GUCUGCAGGGGUACAGAGGUGAGAUGGUGGAGCCCAGCUUGGCGGAAGUAAUGCAACACGACGGCCCAAUUUGUGCCCUUGGCCCCUCGGGCAGAGAACUCGUCUCCCUGGUGCGGAUUAGGCUCCGUUUUAUCUCCGCUCCUUCAGAGACAAAAGGGGGGCUCUGCAUAGGCGCAUAGCCAUGAGGCAUCCGCGACUCCAGCCUGCGUUGUGCGAACCAGACUGGAACAACAAAUAGUGUGGCUUCCUAGCUUGCUUCUUCACCUGUACCAAGUGGACAGCACCUCCCUCAACGUUGUCCUGAGGAAGAAAUUUGGCAAUGGAUUCAAACAUGCAGCGCUGGGCUCAACACACACAGAGUGAGGGCUAAUGGAUGCUGGAGGAAGACAGGAGUUCAAUGUGCACUCAUUUCACGCUGAUUUCUUCAGGUCCUGGUCUGUGAUGCAUGCUGGGGACACAGCCAAAAUCCAUCCCUGGCCCUGGCUUUUGGGUCUCAGCACCUGGAAGAGCAGGCAGCCAUGGAGCAGCAACACCAGCUAUGAUAGACACAGCAGGAGGACCCUUACCUGCAAGCUGCAGUGGGGUGGGGACUUCAGAAGAGGCCACUUGUGAGCUGGCCAUGUUGGGGGAGCAGACUUUGCGCUCCUGGAGAGCAGGGACUGUGCAUCUGUGCUCACUUCCCAGUGCCGUGGCACAGGGCAGUGACGCCAGGACAGAUAAUGCCACACGCGGCUGCUCUUUGCAGAGUGCUCCCCGCCAGGCACUGGGCUCAGUGCUCUCCCUGCAGGCCUUCUCUCAGCCACGAUCCGAGUCCUGGUAGGUAGGUGCUAUUGUCAUCCCCACUUCUUAUGGAUAGGGAUUCAGGUGCUCAGGGACUGCAUGACAACCAGGGUGUGGGAUUAAGAGUCAGCUUAGAAAUCCAGGGGCAGAGUCUGCCUUGGGCACAAAUGCCUUCAAAGCCAGGUGGGAAUGGUGGCUGCCAGGGUCCCACCAGUGUGCCCUGGGCGACUCCAGGGUGCAUUCGCAUCCUGAUCUGUGUCAGUGAUGCUCCUUGGCACUGGGCAUGCGCAAC
rnacentral:lncRNA from 1 species